rnacentral:rRNA from 1 species
AACGAACGCUGGCGGCAUGCCUAACACAUGCAAGUCGAACGAGACCUUCGGGUCUAGUGGCGCACGGGUGCGUAACGCGUGGGAACCUGCCCGUAGGCUCGGAAUAACUCCCCGACAGGGGUGCUAAUACCGGAUAAUGUCCUCGGACCAAAGAUUUAUCGCCCUUGGAUGGGCCCGCGUUGGAUUAGCUAGUUGGUAGGGUAAAAGCCUACCAAGGCGACGAUCCAUAGCUGGUCUGAGAGGAUGAUCAGCCACACUGGGACUGAGACACGGCCCAGACUCCUACGGGAGGCAGCAGUGGGGAAUAUUGGACAAUGGGCGAAAGGCUGAUCCAGCUAUGCCGCGUGAGUGAUGAAGGCCUGAGGGUUGUAAAGCUCUUUUACCCGGGAUGAUAAUGACAGUACCGGGAGAAUAAGCUCCGGCUAACUCCGUG